AGAGUUUGAUCCUGGCUCAGAUUGAACGCUGGCGGCAGGCCUAACACAUGCAAGUCGAGCGGAUGAAGGGAGCUUGCUCCCUGAUUCAGCGGCGGACGGGUGAGUAAUGCCUAGGAAUCUGCCUGGUAGUGGGGGACAACGUCUCGAAAGGGACGCUAAUACCGCAUACGUCCUACGGGAGAAAGUGGGGGAUCUUCGGACCUCACGCUAUCAGAUGAGCCUAGGUCGGAUUAGCUAGUUGGUGAGGUAAUGGCUCACCAAGGCGACGAUCCGUAACUGGUCUGAGAGGAUGAUCAGUCACACUGGAACUGAGACACGGUCCAGACUCCUACGGGAGGCAGCAGUGGGGAAUAUUGGACAAUGGGCGAAAGCCUGAUCCAGCCAUGCCGCGUGUGUGAAGAAGGUCUUCGGAUUGUAAAGCACUUUAAGUUGGGAGGAGGGGCAUUAACCUAAUACGUUAGUGUUUUGACGUUACCGACAGAAUAAGCACCGGCUAACUCUGUGCCAGCAGCCGCGGUAAUACAGAGGGUGCAAGCGUUAAUCGGAAUUACUGGGCGUAAAGCGCGCGUAGGUGGUUUGUUAAGUUGAAUGUGAAAUCCCCGGGCUCAACCUGGGAACUGCAUCCAAAACUGGCAAGCUAGAGUAGGGCAGAGGGUGGUGGAAUUUCCUGUGUAGCGGUGAAAUGCGUAGAUAUAGGAAAGGAACACCAGUGGCGAAGGCGACCACCUGGGCUCAUACUGACACUGAGGUGCGAAAGCGUGGGGGAGCAAACAGGAUUAGAUACCCUGGGUAGUUCCACGCCGUAAACGAUGUCAACUAGCCGUUGGAAUCCUUGAGAUUUUAGUGGCGCAGCUAACGCAUUAAGUUGACCGCCUGGGGAGUACGGCCGCAAGGUUAAAACUCAAAUGAAUUGACGGGGGCCCGCACAAGCGGUGGAGCAUGUGGUUUAAUUCGAAGCAACGCGAAGAACCUUACCAGGCCUUGACAUCCAAUGAACUUUCCAGAGAUGGAUUGGUGCCUUCGGGAACAUUGAGACAGGUGCUGCAUGGCUGUCGUCAGCUCGUGUCGUGAGAUGUUGGGUUAAGUCCCGUAACGAGCGCAACCCUUGUCCUUAGUUACCAGCACGUUAUGGUGGGCACUCUAAGGAGACUGCCGGUGACAAACCGGAGGAAGGUGGGGAUGACGUCAAGUCAUCAUGGCCCUUACGGCCUGGGCUACACACGUGCUACAAUGGUCGGUACAGAGGGUUGCCAAGCCGCGAGGUGGAGCUAAUCCCACAAAACCGAUCGUAGUCCGGAUCGCAGUCUGCAACUCGACUGCGUGAAGUCGGAAUCGCUAGUAAUCGCGAAUCAGAAUGUCGCGGUGAAUACGUUCCCGGGCCUUGUACACACCGCCCGUCACACCAUGGGAGUGGGUUGCACCAGAAGUAGCUAGUCUAACCUUCGGGAGGACGGUUACCACGGUGUGAUUCAUGACUGGGGUGAAGUCGUAACAAGGUAACC
rnacentral:rRNA from 1 species